GGCGGCCGAGAGAAGAAAGAAAGAAAUGGCGAGAGGACGAAGUCGGCCGGAAAGGAAAAUAGAAGAAGAGAAGGAGAAAUAGCGGGUUUCAGGUCAAAUCAAAUAUGCCAAAUCAUUCAUAAUCAAUUAUAGGCUUUGAUUAUCAUCUUUUUAAGGUAACCAAUGAUUUUGAGGAAUACAAGUGUAUGUUGUAGCAGGACCAAAGGUGCUUAUGGUUUUGGCGUUAGUGAUGAGCAACAAUAAAGGAUGGGCCCUGAGAAGCCAUAGCCAUGGAUGAGCACUUGCAGAAGAUUUACGAAAGUGUUAUCUUUAAAUUACAGUCGAGUAUAUUAUGCUUGUUACAUUAUGAUGUGUGAAAUCGAGUUUAAUAAUUUAAAACAA